UCCAGUAUGGUGUACCGGUAACAUCGGUGCCUUUCAGAAAAGAGGGAAAUGUCGACCGCACUAGCCCGGGGUUCGACUCCCCGUACUGGAA